UGGCCCUGGUGGUGGAUUGGCAGCUGAGU
rnacentral:piRNA from 1 species